AUCCAGAAGAUGAGUCCCAAAUAGGACGAAAUACGCAUCUUGGAU
rnacentral:hammerhead_ribozyme from 1 species